ACUUUUGUUUCCGUGCAAGGUUCUCCGCCGGUCGCAGCCGGCAUGGGAUCAAAAGGGAACUCCUGUGAAAAUCAGGGACUAUUCCCGUAGCUGUAAGCUCCAUAACGGUCCGCACACUCUUUAGGCCACUGUCCGUGAGGACGGGAAGGCGUGCGGACGGAGCGAGUCAGAAGACCUGCCUUGCCGGGAUAGGUACC
rnacentral:ncRNA from 2 species